CGCCGCCGGCCCCUGACUUGCCGGCCGAUUUGCUCGCGCUACCGCCUCUCCCACCACCAACGGCGCCUCCCAAAGCAGGAGAUCCACCGCGACCGAAGCAGGUCAGGAGGCGGCCCUGGCGCACCUAGAUCGGCCAGCGCCGUCCGACGUCGAGCUCCUCUGCUCCCAGCGCCAGAUCCACCUAUGGCUCCAUCUCCACAACCACGCACCGGCAGCCGCCAUGGAAGGUGCUCUAUGUGAUUGCUUCUUCCCUUCCGGGGACGCCGCUACUCUGACGCCAUGGACAAAUGAUUACAAAAGGUUGAUGCAAACCAGCUCCAGAAUGAGCUCAAGGCAUAGAGGAAGAAUGAGGAGGAGGAGAUGAGCACACUUCUGAACCACUACCUCCAUUUCUGUGCAGUUCUAGAAGGAGCUCAAACAUAUUUCUCAUGCCUCUGAAUUUCCUUUUUCUUGUACUGGAUAUCUUCUUGUUCUUUCACUCCUAACCAGUAGACUUCUAAUCUAGGUGCUCAUUAUUUCUACUUGUUUGUUGUCUCAGGGAUCACAAGUUUAAUGUUUACUAAAUCAAGAAACCUUCUGAAUCUGCUAACAUAGCCUCCAUUUACUCUCUGCUCAAGUCAGUUUGUGGCAUAUCUUAUUUUAACUUCUGUUUUAGUCUGCUCAAGUGGAGAUCUCCGUAAACUUCAGAAAUCAUAGUCACGAAAUUGUAGGGAUAAAAGGGGUAAUGGAAAAUUGCAUUUCUCUAGUCUCAGUUUGUUCUUCCUUGGCGCCCUACUAUUUACGUUUUUUUCUAUUUGGUAUGUAUAUUCGUAAUGAAUGUCCACUUCUCCUAUCUAUAUUUUCAUAACUAUGUUUCCUAAUUAUACUACUAAU